rnacentral:lncRNA from 1 species
UUUUUUUCAAUAAAGUUGAUUUGUUUGCAGAUUCUUGUAUGGGCAGAAGAAAGAUAGAAUUGACUUUGCGUAUAGACUAUCCUAUGGAUGUCGAUGGCUAUCACCGGCCAAAGGMGGCUAACGCCAGAUGUUGUAGAGCGUUAGCGAGGAGCUCCCGGACGAAGAUGGCGGUGGCUAAUGAGCACAGUCUACUCGUUGAGGAGGUCUUACACAUUCAUGUGCAUUCUUGGUUUUAGAAGAAACUGGACUGGUU